GGAGACGUCGCAUAGUCCGGCCUAGUGCACCACCCUGCUAAGGUGGAGACCUCUUUAAGGGGUCCAGGGGUUCAAAUCCCCUCGUCUCCG
rnacentral:tRNA from 1 species